GGCACAGCAGGCAGGCAGGCAGGCAGAGAAUAAAUACAAGGAGAAAUGAGGAGAGGAGCAACAAGAGAACAAGGGGAGGAAAGAGACAGGAACCAGCCAUCCAGUCACCCAACCAGCCACAGCAUCAGAGUGAACAUCUCCCUGAACUUGGAACUCACAGAUGCGGUUGAACUAGCUGACCACCAAGCUACAGGGAUUCGCUUCUGUGCUGUGCUGGGGAUGCAGACGCAGAUCUCCACGCUUGUACUGUAGAGCACUAGGUUUCUCUGUGUAGCUCUGGCUGCCCUGGAACUUACUCUGUAGACCAGGCUGGCUGCAAAUUCAGAGUCUUGAAUGCUGGGACUAAAGGCAUGUGCCACCACUGCCCGUGGGAUUAUCUUCAUUAAGUUAACUGAUAGGUGAAGACUCAGCCCAUUGUGAACUAUACCAUCCCCUUGGCAGAGUGUCCUGAACGAGCUAAGAGGGGAGAGGUAGAGCUGGAAGUGAUGUGAUUGGCUGUUUGAAACCCUGCCUCGACUUCUCCCCAUGACGCCAGAAUAACCUGGAAUCACAAACUGAAAUUAACCCCUCUCACCCCUAAAUCGCUUUAAGGUCAAGAUACUUUAUUACAGCAGGAGAACCGAAAUUAGAAAAGACAGCCAUCCCAGCAGUCUGUAUUUGUGGAAGACCUUGUCCAUCCCAAGGAUCCAACACUCAUUACCACCACACUUGCCUCCCACCACAACUCAGCCAGGCAGAGGAGACAUUGCCAUUCCUAUUUCCAGGUGAUUCUAAACCCAGUCAAACAGACAAUCAAGACCAAGCCGCAUAUAUGAACAUGGAGCUUCCCCCAAAAUGUGCAAGGGCAACACUGACCUGUGAAAUCGGCUGUGCAGCUGUUGGUGAGAUGGAAACAUUCCAUCCUGCAGGAAGCUCCUUUAGCAGGAAGGUAAACAACUCAAACAGCUUCAGGAAGUCCCUGAAGCAGAAGAGAUUCACCAGACCUCCUCCCUGCCAGAGUCAGCAAUAAACACUGAGUGUCCGGGAGAGUCUCCCUCAGUUGCAUGGAAGACCCUUAACCAGUUGCCUGGAAAGAGCAGAAACCAGCCCAGCUGCCUGGAAGAGGAUUAGACCAACUGAGGCACCUGGAAAAGAACACUCUCUAACCUGCUGAACUCCCUGCAGGCUGAACAGUGUAUUCCAGGUUCCCAACUUUAUGAGCUAUCAGCCUUGCUGGGGUGGGCUUUGGUGAUGCAGCUGUCUUUAAGUCAUUUCUGCUGCUGUAAGUAAUCCCUCACCCAUUUUUAUGGAGGUAACCCCAAUAAAAUUCAGGGCUCACCAA